rnacentral:rRNA from 1 species
GCUGCCCGAUAGAGGGGGAUACCAGUUGGAAACGACUGUUAAUACCGCAUAAUGUCUACGGACCAAAGUGUGGGACCUUCGGGCCACAUGCUAUCGGAUGCGCCUACGUGGGAUUAGCUAGUUGGUGAGGUAAUGGCUCACCAAGGCGACGAUCUCUAGCUGGUUUGAGAGGAUGAUCAGCCACACUGGAACUGAGACACGGUCCAGACUCCUACGGGAGGCAGCAGUGGGGAAUAUUGGACAAUGGGCGCAAGCCUGAUCCAGCCAUGCCGCGUGUGUGAAGAAGGCCUUCGGGUUGUAAAGCACUUUCAGCGAGGAGGAAGGGAUGUAUGUGAAUAGCAUGCAUUUUUGACGUUACUCGCAGAAGAAGCACCGGCUAACUCUGUGCCAGCAGCCGCGGUAAUACAGAGGGUGCAAGCGUUAAUCGGAAUUACUGGGCGUA